GGAAAAAAAAUAUUUUUCCUCUUCUUUUUCAUGUGACCAUGGACGAUUAUUUAGAUCAAGAUACCAUAUAUUAUUUGUAUAGUUUGAAGAAAGGUCAAUUUAUCUAGGAAGUUAAGCAAUUAAUAUAUCUUAAUAUAGACAACACUUGUCUAUCAUACAUUGUAACGUCCAUCCUGAUAGAAAGCAAUGUAGCCACCCA
rnacentral:lncRNA from 1 species